rnacentral:ncRNA from 1 species
GUGGAUUUUUUUUCAUCUCUUGCGCUGCGUCCGUUUACUUACUACAAGUAAUGAGUAGUAUGUACGGCGGCUAGUUUCUCAUUCAUGAGAAA